rnacentral:SRP_RNA from 1 species
UGCCAGGGCCCAUGGAGUGCGGACUUACAAACCCCGCCAGGGCCGGAAGGCAGCAACGGUAGUCUGCUCCGCAACCGCCGUGGUUACCCUGGCAUUU